rnacentral:lncRNA from 1 species
CUCAGGUGUUGAUGCCCCUGCUCAGAGAGCACAAUACCCACCCAGCCCUGGGCAGGGCUGGUUUGUCUGCUGGGACCUGCAAGCUGUGGCUUAUCCUCCAGGGCUUCACCGAGGAGACUUCCUUGGGUUUAUAAAUGACUGCAUUUCCCUUCGGCAUGACAGCUGCAGCUUCACCUCUUCUCGUGUGAACCUGGAGUCAGCUUCUUGUCCCAUCGAGUGCCUGGGUGGGUGCCUGAAGGUGGUGACAGAUUCCUGCUGCCUGGGGCUGCCGUGUCCUUGCCCUCUGGAGAAAGGCAGCUCAGCUCUCUAUCCUGCCCUUCCACCCCUGCUGCCAACAGGAAUAAUCACACCUGUGCUCACGCGGAUCCAUCUGCUGCUUCAUCCUGCCUCGACCAUGUGGAUUCCUCAUCUGAUCAGGAAGACAAGAGAAUUUUCCUCUCCACCUCCAAAGAAUGAAAAGUUCCUCCAGGCUCAGUGUUUCUGAGCAGCACUGCAUAAUUAUGCACGGGACACCUGGUGCAUGUGUGUGACAGGCAGGAUGAGGUAGCUGGCUUGCUUUUGAGACAGAGAAUAGCGAGAAUAAAAGGUGAAAUACCUUUUGUACUAAGUGUUUA